rnacentral:rRNA from 1 species
UGAGUUUGAUCAUGGCUCAGGACGAACGCUGGCGGCAUGCCUAAUACAUGCAAGUCGAACGCUGAAGCACUCUGCUUGCAGAGUGCGGAUGAGUGGCGAACGGGUGAGUAACACGUGGGAAAUCUGCCUAGGAGUGGGGGAUAACAUUCGGAAACGGAUGCUAAUACCGCAUAUCUUUUUGAACCGCAUGGUUCUUAAACGAAAGACGGCUUCGGCUGUCGCUCUUAGAUGAUCCCGCGGCGUAUUAGUUAGUUGGUGGGGUAAGGGCCUACCAAGACCAUGAUACGUAGCCGACCUGAGAGGGUGAUCGGCCACACUGGGACUGAGACACGGCCCAGACUCCUACGGGAGGCAGCAGUAGGGAAUCUUCCACAAUGGGUGAAAACCUGAUGGAGCAAUGCCGCGUGAAUGAAGAAGGUCUUCGGAUCGUAAAGUUCUGUUAUUAGAGAAGAACAAGUCAAGGAGUAACUGUCUUGACUUUGACGGUACCUAACCAGAAAGUCACGGCUAACUACGUGCCAGCAGCCGCGGUAAUACGUAGGUGACAAGCGUUGUCCGGAAUUAUUGGGCGUAAAGGGAGCGCAGGCGGUUGGAAUAGUCUGAUGUGAAAGCCCACGGCUUAACCGUGGAAGGUCAUUGGAAACUGUCCAACUUGAAUACAGAAGAGGUAAGUGGAAUUCCAAGUGUAGCGGUGAAAUGCGUAGAUAUUUGGAGGAACACCAGUGGCGAAGGCGACUUACUGGUCUGUAAUUGACGCUGAGGCUCGAAAGCGUGGGUAGCAAACAGGAUUAGAUACCCUGGUAGUCCACGCCGUAAACGAUGAGUGCUAAGUGUUAGGGGGUUUCCGCCCCUUAGUGCUGGAGUUAACGCAUUAAGCACUCCGCCUGGGGAGUACGGCCGCAAGGCUGAAACUCAAAUGAAUUGACGG